rnacentral:misc_RNA from 1 species
GCGAAAUUCUUGGCGUUGGCGAUCGCAGUCGUAGUUGAUGUAUAUGCAGAGAAGUCCAGCUGCGAGUAUAGAAAGUGCAAGCGGGGUACCGAGGUUGACAGGGUGGUUGACAAGGUACAUUCCGGGAGAAGUGUAUACCGAUGGCACCCAUACCAAGCAUCCCCAGCAUAUGUAGAAUCCAGCUCGAUCAUGAGCAAUAUCCAUUGUGCACCAAUAUCCAGCUUCCCACCAAAAGAACUUGGUGAUAUACACAAGCAUCAGUACAGUAUUUACAAGCAUGGAAUCAGAU